AUUGAACGCUGGCGGCAGGCCUAACACAUGCAAGUCGAGCGGGGUUUUCGGACCUAGCGGCGGACGGGUGAGUAAUGCGUAGGAAGCUACCCGAUAGAGGGGGAUACCAGUUGGAAACGACUGUUAAUACCGCAUAAUGUCUACGGACCAAAGUGUGGGACCUUCGGGCCACAUGCUAUCGGAUGCGCCUACGUGGGAUUAGCUAGUUGGUGAGGUAAUAGCUCACCAAGGCGACGAUCCCUAGCUGGUUUGAGAGGAUGAUCAGCCACACUGGAACUGAGACACGGUCCAGACUCCUACGGGAGGCAGCAGUGGGGAAUAUUGGACAAUGGGCGCAAGCCUGAUCCAGCCAUGCCGCGUGUGUGAAGAAGGCCUUCGGGUUGUAAAGCACUUUCAGUUGGGAGGAAGGGUUGUGUGUUAAUAGUACACAGCCUUGACGUUACCAACAGAAGAAGCACCGGCUAACUCUGUGCCAGCAGCCGCGGUAAUAC
rnacentral:rRNA from 1 species